rnacentral:lncRNA from 1 species
CAUUAGAAAUGUAGGUAGUCUGACACCAAAGCACAGUGAGUUACUUGCAAGUCACAAUGGUGAUCUUAGGUUUGAGAGAUACUUAUGCCCAUAUGCUUCGUGAGCUGCUCUUAAUAGUAAAGCUCUCAGCAGGUGAGUCACUUAUUCUAUGAUGAUGUACUCCUACAUCUUACCUGUAUGCCAUAUCAGUAUUACCACACUCCUUGGUUACGAGGACAACCAACCUAUAUGGUACACAACAACCUACACUCGA